AACUGGUAUAAAAGGUUCUGACCUCUUACACUAGUCACUGUUAACCUUGACCACGACAGUCACUGACCACCGAGGCGGACACAUCCGGACAAUGAUUAAGGCUCUACUAAUUCUCGCCGUUAUCGGCACUGCACUUUCCCAGAACCCGUCUAUGGUCUAUACGGCACUGCCAGCAAAUGGCGCUGCUGCUUCCGGUGCGAGAGGAGCUUCCGGUUCGCCAUUAUCGCGGCAUACAGGAGCUCAUGCAGGAAGACACGCAGCGAGCAUGAUGGGACAACAAUCUGGACAACCGAACGUAUUCAUGCAGUUGCUCAAUAACCCAAUCAGACUGUGCCAGGAGACUGAUAACAUGAGGCCUAUACCAUGCGCAGGGAAUAACAUCUGUAAUAUGGUAUCAAUGAUGCAGUACAGAAUGCCAAAUUUACUGAAAUGCAGUCCAAUGGGUGUCGGAUGUUGUCUUAAGGAUUACCUAUCGCUUCAUCUUUCCAAACAGCUAAGAUAAACAGAUUUAAUGAAAAUUGAAGGUUGGACUAAACAGAAGUGUGAUUGGAAUUGAAAUACAUAACGAGAGACAACAUUCGGAUGUUAAGAAAUUAAACUAAGUCGUUUUCAAUUGAUCUCAAAAAAAAAAACGAACUGCUCCCCGCUUCCCUCUCGUUAAAAUAAUAUGAACUUGUUCUGUUUUCGACUUUGUUACAUCACAAUGCAUUUGUAUAACAAUUGCAUUAGUUAAUUAGUAAUUUAUUCCACCGAAGUAGAUAUUUUCAUAUAUAAGUGUUGCUGUUUUAUUCAAUAAAUUAUUUAUUUUA